CAGCAGCCGCGGGAAUACGGAGGGUGCAAGCGUUAAUCGGAAUUACUGGGCGUAAAGCGUGCGUAGGCGGUUCGUUAAGUCUGUUGUGAAAGCCCCGGGCUCAACCUGGGAAUGGCAAUGGAUACUGGCGAGCUAGAGUGUGUCAGAGGAUGGUGGGAUUCCCGGUGUAGCGGUGAAAUGCGUAGAGAUCGGGAGGAACAUCAGUGGCGAAGACGGCCAUCUGGGACAACACUGACGCUGAGGCACGAAAGCGUGGGGAGCAAACAGGAUUAGAUACCCGGGUAGUCCCUGUCUCUUAUAA
rnacentral:rRNA from 1 species